UGUGUGUGUGUGUGUGUGUGUGUGUGUGUGUGUGUGUAUUGAGAGAGAGAGAUGACAAUGUGACCUUCAGUGAAAUGGGACAUGUAUACUUGUAGGUAGAGUAAUUAAGAAAUUUUAUUUACAUUUUUUUAACCACUAUAAUACACUCAGCAUGCUGCUUUAUUAACCAUUUUUAAACCACUUACAAGUUAAAUACCACAUGACCUAUGGUUCAAAGGGCAUCACCCAGAACUUCCCCCUGUCAACACCCUAUGACUGAAGCAAGCAAGCAAGCACACACACACACACACACACACACACACACGUACUGACAAGCCUGUAAAUCUACCACAGUUACAAGUCACCCACUUUACCAAACAGCACAUUUUCCAACCAAAUAACCAACUGUUUACGACCUAAAAAAACAGUCAUUUAAAAUAAAUCAUACUAACCAUCUAAUCCUUUACAUUUAUUUCAGUCCUGACACAUGUAUAUGCAAACACGACAAACAAACGACAUCUAGUAAGCUGAAUGCUGACCAUUUUUGCGGCAAGACAACAAACCUCUUAAUCAAAUAUUUACUCUUAAUAAAGUCAGGACAAGAGCGACAGCAGGACAGACAGCACACCUGCAAAGCAGCCAUGCAUUUGAGAAUAGCCAGAUUCACACGCUCUACAACUACACACACCCUACCUGUAACCUACCUCUCUCUCUCUCUCUCUCUCUCUCUGUGUGUGUGACCCUUACACACAGUACUAUUCCUGGAUACCACUGAAGAUACAAUCCAAACAUCAAACUGCAUCUAUCACCAAAUAUAAACCUCGCUGUGCAUGCUCAACCCACACAAAUACAAACACACCCAAAACUGCUAAAUGUGUGUCCUGUGCAGCUUCCUUUUAGAGAUGCAGAAACUGUAAAUUGUUAACCAUUAAAACAAGGUCCUUGUGGUGAACUAUAUAAUAACACAAAUUAGCCAUUGCAUAACAACCCAUCUCGAUCUAAUUCACCCCUCUCUAUUUCUUAGCAUGCAAAUUAUUUAGCAUGUUAUUGCUGGUCUGUGAAAGUGGACUGAAGGUCCCUGGGGCUGGAAUGAAAUUGGCAAAUCUGACAAUGGUGCAUAUUAGGCCUAUGUGCUAUUUUGAAACCUCUCUACAAUCACCUAAAUGGUCAUUCCACCUCCAUGUCGAGUAUCUGUUUGAAACCCCAGCUGACCAGAGUGAUAUAGGAACACAAGGUCAUGGCUAUGCUCAUACUUAGCCAAAUAAAUUAAUAAUUAAAUAAUUAAAUAAUUAAUUAAUUAAUAAUACACCAAACUUAUCACCAAAUCCAACCAAACAGCAAUAAAUCCUCUGCUAAAACAAUUUCUGUUUCCUUUUUGCUUCUCACCAGUGCACAAGACAUAAAUUCCUACAUAUAGCCCACACAAUGUUUUUUUUUUUUUUAAAUAUCUGUGUGCACAAUUAAACUCAUCAUCUGUACAUCAGUGUCUCAAAAGUGUCUACACUUCAUUGCAGGCUAGACUAAAAUACACUUUUUUGCACUGUGCAGCCUUAAAAAAUAAAUUAAAUAAUAGUAAUUAAACCACAUUCCCAUAAACUUUAAUUUCAUAAAUUAACAUCAACCUUUAUUUCACUGUCUAGAUAUUCACUAACAUUCACCUACCACAUUUCCUCAAAACCUGCUCUAAAUAAAAAAAAAAAAGUGCAUUCUGAUUUUACUAAAUUAUCUGAUAUGCGUGCACUUGGCUUUAGUUUAAACUAACAAUUAGUGUGAGAGUAGAAAUGAAACUCAAUAAAAUGAAUAAAAUAAGGCAUGACUUGGGGUUAAAACACAUCUCACACAAAUUAUACAGCAGCCCUCAGUCAGAAGAGAGAACUCUCAGAAACUACAUAGUGUAAUCUGCACAGCAGGAGAAGUUGAUAAGGUGCAAAACACAAAUUAGAUAAAAUCUGGUACAAGUUAGGAAACAUAAUAAACCAUUAAAUUACGAGAAUAAAGCUUUUUAAGUCAGCACUCUGAAUAUGGUGGACAAAAGGUCACAGCUUCUGUCCGAUAUUCAUUUAUAAACCCAGCACAUGCACUGAAUUUGUACUAAUACUUUUACCAAGUCAUAACAAGAUGUUUAGGGAAAGAAAAAAAAAGUAAAACGUCAUGUUACAUUUGGGCAGAAAACUUUCUAACAUAUUGCUGACAUGUAGAUAUAAAUGUGUUGUUAAAAUGUAGCAGGAGCACAAGAGUGAGAGAGAAAGAGAGAGAGAGUGUGUGUGUGUGUGUGUGUGUGUUUGCUGAUUAAAAGGUAAUGUUGUGAAAACGAUAGAUCUGGUUGUGGUUCACUUGAGGGGGUUUCCCUACGGUCCCAAAUACCCACAUGAGGAAGCCUGUACACUGCCAGCAAAUAAAAUGCUAAAAUAAAAUUAGCCUAAAACUCUCUCUCUCACACACACACUAAAUGAGUGGUCUAAUGCGUAAUGACUUACACACUCUUGCUGGUGAUGUGUAAGCAGUAAAGCAGCUGGGUGCAUAGGUCAUACAAUUCCAGUGUUAUUGAGGUGGAGGGAGGAAAAAAACCCCACAAAUCUCAUGAGUCGUGAUGCUAAAACAAGUACACAAAUACAUAACCUGUAAUGUACAGGGUUAUUUGUAAUAUAUUAAAAAAGCUACUACAGGGAAUCGAUUCUUGACAUCUGCUCAAUCAUAAUACAUCCUGUUGUGGGAAGAGGGAAGCCAAUUCUGAGAGGAAACUCAAAAUAUUUUCUAACUCAAGUUCCUUUUCUCAAAAGUACAAAGCACUAAGUGGGCUUCAUUAGAGCCUCAGCUACAUCCUAAUGACAAACGCAGAAAUGAUCUUAGCCUAAUAAAAUGCCUGUUAUUCUCUUACCUAAUAAUUUGAAGUCUGUUUUGUUUUUGCUGUUUAUCCUUUGCUAGGGGGGAGGGGGGGGACACACGAAGUGGACAGCUCUUACCAUCAGUUAUGUGACGAGGUCAAAGUGUCACAGUAAUGACCUUUCAGCUUUCUCAAGAGCCAAGCAAGCCAAAUGACUACACUUAAACAAAAAGCAAGGUUCCUCACAACUGUGAUUUUUUUUUAAGCCAGCUGAAAUUAGCUUUCUAUUAACAGCAGCUGGGGCCCCGAGGUGCACGACAUGAUGUGGGGGGAAAUAAAACCUUAUCCUUAGUCUGAAUGACCCUGUAGACAACACAACAUGGAGUUUGCACACUAAUGUUCAUAUACAUGUUUUUUUUUCUUCUUUCCACAAUUACAUCCAAGUGUGUUAGAUCAAACAGGGUCUGUGACAUUGAUGUAUAAAUGUAUACGACAGUGUAGCGUUUUUGGAUUUAAAAAAAAUUACUUUAUUUUUUUUGUAAACGUGUAAUUAAAUUCAACUGACUUCCAAGUGUGAUGUUGCAAUCGCGAGGUGAAGCAGAUCCGCCACAUCACGACGCGCCUCCGUUUCAAAGCCCCAUCCAGCACUUCAUCACGAGCUCACACACACACACACACACACACAACUAAAUACCACGGCUUAUUUGAGUCAGACGUAGUGCUGUAAUUAUUCAUUCCCUACUAGCAAAGUGAGCAAUUGAAACUAUAAUCAGUUUACUUACAGUUUCGGGAGGUGAGUCAGGUAGUGCAAAGCGUCUAUUAACCUUGUGUGAGAUAUAUAUAUAUAUAUA
ensembl:lncRNA